rnacentral:rRNA from 1 species
AGGACGAACGCUUGCGGCGUGCCUAAGAAAUGCAAGUCGAGCGGGGGAGCAAUCCCUAGCGGCGAACGGUCGCGUAACACGUAAGCAACCUGCCCGAAAGACCGGGACAACAGCCCGAAAGGGCUGCUAAUACCGGAUGUGUCCACUUUGCCUCAUGGCUUAGUGAGUAAAUCAUUUAUGGCUUUCGGAGGGGCUUGCGGCCUAUCAGCUAGAUGGCGGUGUAACGGACCCCCAUGGCGACGACGGGUAGCUGGU